rnacentral:tRNA from 3 species
CGGGAUAGCUCAGUUGGUAGAGCAGAGGACUGAAAAUCCUCG